rnacentral:rRNA from 1 species
CAUGUCCUUUUGAUAAUUGAUUUAAGGUCUAGUCUGCCCACUGAAAAAUUUGAAGGGCCGCGGUAUUUUGACCGUGCGAAGGUAGCAUAAUCAUUAGUUUUUUUAUUGGAAACUGGAAUGAAUGGCUGGACGAGAGAAUGACUGUCUCUGAUUUAAUUUUUUAAAAUUUUAUUUUUGAGUUAAAAAGCUUAGAUUUUUAUAAAAGACGAGAAGACCCUAUAGAGUUUUAUAUAAUUAUUUUAAUUUUUUAUGAAGAAUUUUAUUUUGUUUAAUUAUUUUUUAUUUUAUUGGGGUGAUAGAAAGAUUAGGUUAACUCUUUUUUUAUUUUUACAUUAAUAUAUGAUUUUAUGAUCCAUUUUUUGAUUAAAAGAUUAAAUUACCUUAGGGAUAACAGCGUAAUUUUUUUAUAUAGUUCUUAUUGACAGAAGAGAUUGCGACCUCGAUGUUGGAUUAAAGUUAAAUUUUGGUGUAGAAGCUGAAAAUUUUAAGUCUGUUCGACUUUUAAAACUUUACAUGAUCUGAGU